CUGAGUCACGGCCUGAACUCCUGAUUGAUCACCUGAGGAGAGCCAUGAGUCAGCCAGAGGAGCACAGGUGAAGGCAAUUCACCUGUGCUGCCGGAAGGGGGUGGAGCCAGGCUCCACCCCUCCUAGACCUAUUUAAGAGCUGGCUACCAGCGGGGAAGGAUCUCCUCCGGAGAUCACCUCUCUUGGUGUUUUCUGGUGAGCUCAGCUGAAGGCAUUUCUUCUAGAUGCAUGUAACAGGCACGGACUGCAGCACAGGAAUUUCCAUAAGAAUGUAAGGAAGAACAUCUUUAUUGUGAGGGUGACAGAGUGCUGGAGCAGGCUGCGGGAAAGGUGGUGGAGUCUUCUUUGGAGAUCAUCAAAACCUGCCUGCAUGCUUUCCUGUGUGAGCUGCUGUGUGGGGCUGGCCUGGACGAUGUCCAGAGGUCCCUUUUGACCCCUACAAUUCUGUGACACCCUCCCAUCAAGAAAGGAACAUACAAAAAGAAGAAAGAAGCAUGGAGCUUGCAAGUUAUUUAAACAUUUUGCUGACUAAAAAGUAAAAAUAAAUAUAAUAAGCACAGAAGUAGGCUUUUUACACACAACUACUUAUAUAUUCAAGAUGAUUGAGGAAGAAAUGAGAGCUGACAAAGGAUAAGAACAGGAAUCCAUCCACCCUGUUUUUUAUACAUCCAUAUACUGUCAAGACACCCUAGCAAAGUAUUAGGCAAAUACAUCAGGUAUACUUGGAGCCUGUUUUACACCAAAAGCAAUUUUUGCUCCCUGUGUGCACCUCAACUAGAGCUGAUCAAACUCUCCUAGAAUGAGAUGGAGUUUCAUACAACAAAUGGUGUAUGCGCUUGUUCUUCUCUAGCCCUGAUGCUGUGUUCUGCGAAAGUGAAACGCAGAAAACUGCUUUACAACAAACCACACCAUUUCCUAUCCAUUUUAAUUUCUUAAAAUAUUAGCUUGAUGCUUUGCAUUUAAGCACUUGGAAUCACAUUACUGUACAGGCACACAUAUCAUACAAGAAUCUGUAACUGCAACAGGUUGAGAGAUAACAGAACUGAAAAUAGGAAAGGGUUUCCUUUUUGUACCUUUAUAAAGCAAAUUAAUGAGUUAAAACACUAAAUUAGAGAAAAGGUUUUCUUCCAUAAACUUCUAUAAAUAUAGAAGAUGAAAAUUCACCUUCUGGAAACUUAAAUGCUUUAAAAAAAAAAAAAAAAGAAAAAAAUAAAGAGAGCAGAAUCUUCUUUUAAGCUGGUAAGAGAUGUAAGACCAGCAGGGUAUAUGUCAACUGGAACAAUCUGUAUCAAAAAAGAUCCCAGGAACAUCAGAAAGAUACACAGGCUGGAAGACCUGGGCUCUAUGAUUUGUGUCAUCCCUGUAAGCAGAAUACUUGGCAGUACGUAAAGGCACUGGAUCGGGCACCUGGCUGAUUACAGAUCAGCAGAGCUCCGCAUUUC